UACGUAGGUGGCAAGCGUUGUCCGGAUUUACUGGGCGUAAAGGGCGUGCAGGCGGUCUGUUAAGUUCAGGGUGAAAGCUCCCGGCUCAACUGGGAGAGGUCCUUGGAUACUGGCAGACUUGAGGGAGGUAGAGGAGAGUGGAAUUCCCGGUGUAGUGGUGAUAUGCGUAGAUAUCGGGAGGAACACCAGUGGCGAAGGCGGCUCUCUGGGCCUUUCCUGACGCUGAGGAGCGAAAGCCAGGGGAGCAAACGGG
rnacentral:rRNA from 1 species